UACGAAGGGGGGCUAGCGUUGCUCGGAAUGACUGGGCGUAAAGGGCGCGUAGGCGGCUCAUACAGUCAGAUGUGAAAUUCCUGGGCUUAACCUGGGGGCUGCAUUUGAUACGUGUGGGCUUGAGUGGGGAAGAGGGUCGUGGAAUUCCCAGUGUAGAGGUGAAAUUCGUAGAUAUUGGGAAGAACACCGGUGGCGAAGGCGGCGACCUGGUCCUUGACUGACGCUGAGGCGCGAAAGCUAGGGUAGCAAACGGG
rnacentral:rRNA from 1 species